CACCUGUGAUGACCCGCCAUGCUAAUACCGAGGCACUGAAUCAAGCUUUUGGCUCGGAAUCGGGUGUCCAUGAGUUAAGCUUGCUUCUCAAGAGGAGAACUGAGGUGC